CGACGGGUGGCAGUAGUGGGGAAGAGUGCACAAGGGGGGAAACCCGGAGGCAGCGACGCCGCGUGAGUGAAGAAGUAAUUCGUUAUGUAAAGCUCUAUCAGCAGGGAAGAAAAGGACGGUACCUGAGGAAGAAGCCCCGGCUAACUACGUGCAAGCAGCCGCGGGAAUACGUAGGGGGCAAGCGUUCUCCGGAUUUACUGGGUGUAAAGGGAGCGUAGACGGCAGUGCAAGUCUGGAGUGCAAGGCGGGGGCUCAACCCCCGGACUGCUCUGGAAACUGUACGGCUGGAGUGCAGGAGAGGUAAGUGGAAUUCCUCGUGUAGCGGUGAAAUGCGUAGAUAUUAGGAGGACCCCCAGUGGCGAAGGCGGCUUACUUGACUGUAACUGACGUUGAGGCUC
rnacentral:rRNA from 1 species